rnacentral:sRNA from 2 species
CAUCCCGAGGAGAAAAAUAUGAAAAUGAAAAAUGAACUCAAGGAAAAACCGAACUAACUAGCCGCAAGUAUUUCAGUGCGUACAGAUAAGUUGAAAUAUCUCCGCCUGCCACGCCCAUACCCAUCACACACACCCACACACACCAUAUGCUAAAUUCAAAAUGAAUAAAAAAAAUUGUUAAAAAAGAAAGAACAAAAAAUAUAAAAGGGAAGGGGAAAAGGGCAAUUCACAAAGCCAAGCCAGCCCUCCUCUUCCAUUUCUUCUCAUGCCCGAAAUGAUGCGAUGACGACAACGCCUUUUUCAACUUUCCCUUCCCACGACCACCACCCGUAGAACUCGACCCGGACCCCCACCCACGUCCAAACCCA